GAAACGCCCUAAAUAAACUCAGCCUUCCGCUCAAGGAUCUCACAGGCAUCUGAACUUGGCCCACCCUCAGCCUGAGCCAGCAGACAGCCCCUCCUGAGAAUACGCUGGCCUCAGGAGACAUUGAUAGUGAAACUCUGUUUUAAAGAUGAGACGAUGGAAGCUCAAGUAACCUGCCCAAGGUCACACAAUUGGUUCCCCCACGGUCAUUCGCCCUCUUCUCUGUGUCUCUAAAAUACCGCAUCCAUCCCUUUGUUUGAAGCCAGCGUUGUCAUCAUUUGUUCUGACUCUCACGGGGCUCACUUUCUUCCACUGGAAUGAGAGGUCUUCAAGAGCAGAGACCAAGUCUCGUGAACCUCUGUUUCCACUGCCCAGCAUCUAGCAGAGGUCAACACACAUGCGUGGAAGAAAUCAAUCAAUCAAUCAAUCACCAAAGUCGGUUUUGCUGACCGUUGUUCCAUUUUUCUAAUGCUGCGUAACAAACCACCACAGUAUUUAGUGACUUAAGAUAACACCAUUUACUUUGUGCAUGAAUCUACAGUUUGAGCAGGGCUUGGUGGGGACAGUCUGGCUAUGUGCCCCUUGGUGUCACCUGGGGCUGCUAGAAGGCCAGGGGCUGGAGACGGCUAAAAGGCCCCUCACACGCGUGUAUGGCCCUGGGUUCGGAAGACUCUGGCAGCUGUGGGCUGAACAGCUGG
rnacentral:lncRNA from 1 species